rnacentral:rRNA from 1 species
UACGUAGGGGGCAAGCGUUGUCCGGAUUUAUUGGGCGUAAAGAGCGUGUAGGCGGCCAGUUAAGUCUGCUGUGAAAACUCGAGGCUCAACCUCGAGCUGUCGGCGGAAACUAUUUGGCUAGAGUCCGGAAGAGGAAAGCGGAAUUCCUGGUGUAGCGGUGAAAUGCGCAGAUAUCAGGAAGAACACCCGUGGCGAAGGCGGCUUUCUGGGACGGUACUGACGCUGAGACGCGAAAGCGUGGGGAGCGAACAGG